GUGUUCGCUUUGGCAGCACGUAUUCUAAAAAUGGAACAAUACAGAGAAGAUUAGCAUGGCCCCUGUGCAAGGAUGACACUCAAAUUCAUGAAGCAUUCCAUUAAAAA